rfam:Isaria fumosorosea ARSEF 2679 scaffold_18, whole genome shotgun sequence.
UCCGAUGUCGUCUAGUGGUUAGGAUCCUGCGCUUUCAAUCUCAUCCUUGAGAGCCGCAGUGGCCGGGGUUCAAUUCCCCGCAUCGGAG